UCAUUCGGAUUCUCCAUCAUACGUCCAACCGUGCAUUUGAUAUGCAUAUAUAUGCAUCACGAGCCACGGUUGGGCUGUAUGAUGGCGAUACCGAUUGG
rfam:Triticum aestivum genome assembly, contig: Triticum_aestivum_CS42_TGACv1_scaffold_019027_1AS